GACACAGGCUGAACUAUUUACAGAUAAAAUGGUACAACUUAAGUUUGCUUCAAAAUAACCCAAUAAAGGAGCACGGGUCAACGUAGAGUUGCCACAAGAUGGCCCUGUGUUAAUGGUCAUUAUAACUUGGUGAGGGGUAUAUGGCAGUUCACGUUACUAGUUUGCGGUGGUUUUAUGUAUGUUAGAAAUUUUCCAUAAUAAACGUUUUGUUUUGUUAUGUUUUGUUUAAUUUUAUUUAUUUUUUUAAAGCACAGAUUUUUAGCCCAAGACAGAUCUAGGUUCAAAUCCCUUCCUGCUAUUUUUUUGGCUGGGCAAUCUUGCAUUUAAUGCUUCUGAGUCCAGUCUCCAAUUCCUAAAACAUUUGUAAGAAUAAUUCCAGGCUCACAAAUUUGUUGCAAGUACAUAAAGCCCUUAGGGCAAAGCCUAGAACAUGGUUGGCAAUCAGUAAUGCUACUGUGAGUCUCCUUGAGCCUAACCCUCUAGUUAUACCAACUCUUAGGAACAACCUGUAAUCAUGGUAUGGUUGCAAGCAGAUGGCUGGCCCACUGUCUUGACCGCAGGGUCCGUCACAGCUUUGGCAGAUGGAAUGGAACUGGGGAUCAAAUUAUAGGUUUCAGACCCUUUACUAAAACUCCUGGGGGGCAUUUCUUUUACAGCAUUUUUAUUCUUUAUAAAUUUUUCAAAACUGAAGCAUAGUUGAUUUGAAAUAUUAUGUGAGUUUCAGAUGUGCAGUGUAGUAGUUUAUUAUUCUUUGAUGUUGAAAAUGGCCAUGAGAGGAGAGAAGAGGCGGUGGGAGGGGUUUGAUGAUGCCACUUUUCUUGGCUGUCAGUGUUCCUGGGUUCACAGCUCUGCUGUCACUGGGAGGGGUCAGACCGGGAAAGCAGACCCUGAGAUGUACAUGGUCAAAGUUGAGGGAGGUCCCGUCUGCAGAUCCUUCUUUCCAGGACAGUUGCCUGUCCUCCCUUUCAUCUGUUCACAGGCAGCUAGCAUUUCACAGGUUGUCCAGGGACUUGGGGUUCUUGAGAACCUGUCAGUGGAGCAGGGAGUUGAUUAUCCUUUCAGCGGAGGGAGGCUUUACCGUGAAUGGCAAUUCAGGCAUUUGCAGCAGCUGUGACCCCACAGCCACAUGAGGGA
ensembl:lncRNA